AAGAGGUUUAUUUGUUGAACCAUGAUAUCUAAGGGAGUAAGAGGCAACGUCCAGGUUGGUACAUAAUGGUUCUUAGUCUUUUGCUUUAUGACAUCGAAUGAACUUUGCAAUUCUAAGUGUCUAUCAUGUCCUGCAUAGUUUUUUAUUUUGUGUAAGCUGAGAGUAUUCAUAGUUCCAUUUUCCUAUUUUUGGCAGGGGUAUCUAAGAGAGCUGGUCCAGGCUUGAUGGAAAUCGCUUAGUACAUUCAUGGGAUCACAAACUUUUGGCAUUGGUUGAGAUUAGUGACGCAGGACCAUUAAUAACUAGAAGACUGUGACAAUUAACUUACUGUUUCAUGAAUUAGAGAGGCUGGGUUGGACCAACUCCAUGUUACAGGCCCUUUCCUCAUUGCAUUUCUCUUGACAUUAAAUUGAUUAAAUUAUAAUUUUAGUAGGAAAUCUACAACAUACUCAGAUCAUUAUGAUUACUCUUUCCUGUUUUUGUUUCUAUAUCUAAUUGAUAUAUAGAUUUUGCAUCUUGUCCUAUGACAUGUACUUCUGUAGUUGUGUCCAUUGGACUUACUCUUUUCAUUGUGGCAUCAUGAUUCCUCCUUUUCUUGGCUUGCUAUAUAUGUUUGUUUCAUGGUCCAGUUGGUGUUCCAAAAAUAUGCUCAAUUGUUAUAUGUAUCAAAUACAGUCUCUCCCAGUGGUGUACCAUCUGCUUAUUGUUUUACAUACAGUCGCUUGAUUAUUUUUGUUCCUCUAUAGGCCUCUGGUCCUGUCUGCAGUGUACGGCUAGGUUGUUCGUCCGCCUGGGUCGUAGGUUCUUUCCUUCCUGUUGACGGCAGGUACAAGACUCGAGCAAUGGUUAACGGGCAAGCACUAUAUACACCAUUCAUCUAUGCUAAUAUAGCCUGUCUUUUAAAGCCAAUGUAUGCUAUCACCAA
rnacentral:lncRNA from 1 species